rnacentral:rRNA from 1 species
UACAGGGGGGGCAAGCGUUGUUCGGAAUUACUGGGCGUAAAGGGCUCGUAGGUGGCCAACUAAGUCAGACGUGAAAUCCCUCAGCUUAGCUGGGGAACUGCGUCUGAUACUGGAUGGCUUGAGUUUGGGAGAGGGAUGCGGAAUUCCAGGUGUAGCGGUGAAAUGCGUAGAUAUCUGGAGGAACACCGGUGGCGAAGGCGGCAUCCUGGACCAACACUGACACUGAGGAGCGAAAGCCAGGGGAGCAAACGGG